rnacentral:rRNA from 1 species
UACGUAGGGGGCUAGCGUUGUCCGGAAUCAUUGGGCGUAAAGCGCGCGUAGGCGGCCCAGUAAGUCCGUUGUAAAAGUCAAAGGCUCAACCUUUGAAAGCCGAUGGAUACUGCUGGGCUAGAGUCCGGAAGAGGAGAGUGGAAUUCCUGGUGUAGCGGUGAAAUGCGCAGAUAUCAGGAAGAACACCAAUGGCGAAAGCAGCUCUCUGGGACGGUACUGACGCUGAGACGCGAAAGCGUGGGGAGCGAACAGG